UAGAGGGACACAUGGUGUGGGCUUGUGGAAAAAUAUUAGAGCGGGAUGGGGUAGAUUUGCCAAGUGCUUUAGAUUUGCAAUUGAAAGAGGUGAUAGAGUCUACUUUUGGCAUGAUGCUUGGUGUGGUGAACAGGUCCUAAAGCAGGUGUUUCCCACGCUUUACCAGAUUUUCAACGACAAAGAGGCUGCCGUGGCUGAUCUAGUGGUAAUUUCUAAUGGUGUUGUCCAUUGGGAUGUAAGAUUCUUGAGAGUUGCUCAUGAUUGGGAGUUGGAUAUGCUUGCUAUUUUUUUGACUUAGUAUAUGCAAUAUCAAUGGGCAGUGAGACGGAGGAUAAAAUGAUCUGGAUUUUGAAUGGUAAUAACAAAUAUUUGGUGCGCUCUUUCUACAAGGCCCUCUUGGGAGUUUCUAAUGAUCAUAAUUUUCCUUGGAAGGCCAUUUGGCAAUGUAGAGUACCGUCUAAGAUCGCUUUUUUUGUAUGGACUGCAUCUUUUGGGCGGAUCCUCACGUUGGAUAAUUUGAGAAAACGUAGUCUUAUCAUAGCAGAUUGGUGCUUCUUGAGCAAGAAUGAUGGGGAAUCAGUGGAUCAUCUUUUGUUAUGUUGUGAGGUGGCAAGUUGUUUGUGGAAUGAGAUCCUCAAUAGGAUAGGGGUGACUUGGGCUAUGCCCAGAAAAGUUAGAGAUAUUCUGGGGUGUUGGACAGGAAUUAGGGGGAAUCCACCUAUAGCUGUUGUGUGGAGAAUGAUCCCUCAUUGCAUUUUGUGGUGCUUUUGGCUAGAGAGGAAUAAGAGGUGCUUUGAAGACAUGGAGCGUUCUUUGGAGGAGCUGAAGCGAUUCUUCUACAAUACUUUAUUUUCUUGGGCUUCGGCUAUUAUUUGUAAUACGGACAAUUUUCAUGACCUGCUUGUAUCUCUCACUAGUAUCUAGAUGUAAUUAGGUUUCAUGAGCUGUUUGUAUACUUCUGGUGUACUCUGUUACUUUCUUUAUUUCAAUAAAACUUACUUUUACCUAUAAAAAAAAAAAAUCCUUUAGCUCUGAAGCCCCGGGUUUCUUGGGAAUGAGAGCAAUGAAAGUAGCAUUAAGAGAUUUUUCAAACUUCUUAAAGGAAAAAAACUCUUGAAAAACCCGCAUCACAUCUUUCACAAUCUCCCAACAAAGUUGAAAAAAUGCCAUAGAAAAACCAUCCGGACUAGGACCUUUAUCUUUGACCAUCCCACUAACCACAAAAAAAACCUCAUCUUCAUCAAACGGUCUCUCCAACCAACUUGCACUAAGAGGAUCAAGAGAAUAAAAAAACAGCCCAUCAAUUUUAGCCCUCCAAGAACCUUAUUCGGUGGGAAGGUUUUCAUAAUAAUACACUAUAAGAUCUUGAAUCUCAGGUGGAGAUGAAAUAAUCAGAGAUGAAAUAAUCACACAACCAUCAGAAUGAAGCAUCUCAAUAGCAGUUUCUUUGGUGCGAGUUGGCCAUUCUAUGAAAAAAUCUAGUACAUUUAUCCCCUUCUUUUAGCCGAAGAGCCAUUAUUUUUACCGCCAAGAGAUUUCCUCCAUCAACAAAGUUACAACACCCUCUCAAAUUCAGCCACCACAGAUUUUUUUUUUUCAAAAAGACCUCCUUAGAAGGAACCCUAUACUCCUCCCCAGACUCCAAAUCCUGCAACUCCUCCAUAAGAGAGAAUUUUUCUGACAUUAAUAUUCCCAAAAACUUUUGCAUUUUAUUUCUUUAAAUCAAACUUCAAUGGUCUAAGCUUACUAGCAAGAAUAAAAGUGGGAGUACCCGUGAACUAAUAAGAAGACCACCAGCUCCUAACCUUGUCAACAAAACCAUCAACUCCUAACCACAUGUUUUUAAACUUAAAACUCCAACCCCCAUGAAUGCCACCGCUGUCCAGCAAAAUAAGAAAAUGGUCUGAACACACAUGAGGCAAUCUCUUUUGAUAUGGCUCUAGGUAAUGUACUUCCCAAGAAGAAGAAACAAGAAAUUGAUCCAAUCUCAACCAACUUCGACUGUUGGACCAAGUGGAUACACCCCCCCACAAGUGGAAGAUCCAAGUGAUCCAAAUCAAAGAUAAAUACAAACUCCUUCAUUGCCGAAGAAAAACUAGAAUCACCUAAACGUUCACUUAGGAACCGAGUAAUGUUGAAGUCCCCACACAUACUCCAUGGUACAUCUCAAAGAGAAUACAAACCCUCUAAUUCCUCCCACAAAAAACUCCUUUCCCUCGGGAUUUUGACCAUAAACACCCGCGAAGGCCCACUCCCACCCAUCAUCCUCUACAUUUUUAAAAAAACAAGCUAAAGAAAAGUUCCCUAUACAUACCCACUCGUGGGUAGCCCAAGUGGUAAGGGCGAACUUGUGUGCAUGAGCCCCAUGUCACAGGUUCGAUUCCCCCUGAAAUCAAACUACAAUUUAAGAGGGAGGUCAUGGCGAUGGGUUGUUGUGCUAGUCUCCCCGGGGGUUCAGGUUCCAUGAGUGAGUCCUAAGGGCUUUGCCAUAGGGUGGUUUCCCCUAUCAUUAAAAAAAAAAAAAAAAAAAAAAAAAAAAAAAAAGAAAAAGAAAAUAAAAAAGGGGAAAAGUUCCCUAUACAUUCCCUCCAUAGACUCCACCACCCUUGUGUCCCAGAUUAAAAGAACACCCCUAGAAGCUCCCAUAGACACCAAAUCUGCCCAACCCACGAAAUAGCACCCCCCAUAAACUACGAAUUAAACAUCUAUCAACAAAAUGUAACUUCAUUUCUUGAAGGCAAGCAAUAUCAACCUUCCACCUACGUAAUAAAGACUUUAUACAAAGACGUUUGUUUAGAUCGUUAAGCCCC